rnacentral:rRNA from 1 species
GAUGAACGCUGGCGGCGUGCCUAAUACAUGCAAGUCGAGCGAACAGACGAGGAGCUUGCUCCUCUGACGUUAGCGGCGGACGGGUAAGUAACACGUGGAUAACCCACCUAUAAGACUGGGAUAAAUUCGGGAAACCGGAGCUAAUACCGGAUAAAAUAUUGAACCGCAUGGGUCAAUAGUGAAAGACGGGUUUGCUGUCACUUAUAGAUGGAUCCGCGCCGCAUUAGCUAGUUGGUAAGGUAACGGCUUACCAAGGCAACGAUGCGUAGCCGACCUGAGAGGGUGAUCGGCCACACUGGAACUGAGACACGGUCCAGACUCCUACGGGAGGCAGCAGUAGGGAAUCUUCCGCAAUGGGCGAAAGCUUGACGGAGCAACGCCGCGUGAGUGAUGAAGGUCUUCGGAUCGUAAAACUCUGUUAUUAGGGAAGGACAAAUGUGUAAGUAACUAUGCACGUCUUGACGGUACCUAAUCAGAAAGCCACGGCUAACUACGUG